UACUAGUACGUCACAGGGGCCCAUCAUGGCGCCUGCCCACGCCCAAGCCUGGCCCUACUCUUCAUACUCAAGAUUUUCCCUGGAGAACCACCCUACAGAACAGGUGCCGUACCCUCCCGUGGGUGACCGGCCGUCGCCGAUGUCACCCACCGCCCCAACUAACCCCGUGCUCCCACCGUACACCCCCGCCGCCUGGACCGGCGAAGAGCCGCCUCCUUCUUACGACGAAGCAACCAAGUCAAAACCCGUGAAGUGAAAGCGACAUGUUUUUCAUACAUUUUGUACUUUUAGACGACAACAUUUUUUAGCCCCAACCAAAAAAAAAUCAAUCUCUCAGGGACACAAUUCUCCGGUCACCAAGGAGUGCCACCAAAGGCGCAGAUAAAAGAGGGAUGAAGUCGGGGGCUGCCACAUGACGUACAAUAUGCCUAUAUUAUCGUAACAUUCACAUACAUGUACAUGUUUAUGUUAUAUAUAUACACACACACACACACACGCACACAGACACACACAUGUAUAUGACAGUGCAUGUAACCAAGGGAUAAAAGCUCCUUGAUGUAACAUAUAUAACGCUAUACAUAUAAUAUUAUAUAGAAACAAAAAAUUAUAUAGACACAGUGCACCUAACACUGAAAAUAAAACGAGGGAAAUGCACAGAAAAUCAAUUAUGAUUAACUGAGACGGAAAGUAAUUAGAAUGUAAAGAAGUACUCACCAACUAAUAAUAGCAAUAGCUAGUUAGUCCACGGCAUAUGGUACGUGUACUGAAUGUGUAUAACCAUGGAGUUUGCGUUCAUUAUUAUUAAUUUCCAAGUAAAUUAAAUUGGUUACAAAAUCUUUG